GCAUGUGAGGGCGAUCUGUCUGCGACAUCUGUCACCCCAUUGAGCGCCAGGGUUGAUUCGGCUGACCUGGCUGGCUAGGCGGGUGUCCCCUUCCUCCCUCACUGCUCCGUGUGCAUCCCUCCCAAAGCUUCGCACUCGGUCAAAGAGGACGGCCUUCCCCAAAUAGAGAUGGACCGGUCUUCGGUUUUCAGUGGAGAGUAUGCGAGUAGCUGCGCUCCCCUGCUAGAACCUCCAAACAAGCUCUCAACGUUGUCGUAAAAUAAAUUAUUUGAAAGGUGAGCAUUGGGACCACACACCCUGGCUCUGUGCUCAGG
rnacentral:snRNA from 1 species